rnacentral:rRNA from 1 species
CGAACGCGGGCGGGCAUGUUUAACACAUCAAAUUCGAACGGACGACCAUGGACAGAAUCUUCGGAGGACGACUAUGAAAGUUAGGGGCGGACGGGUGAGUAACGCGUGGGUAACCUGCCCUUUAAAUUGGGACAACAGUUGAAAACGACUGCUAAUACCGAAUGUGACGUUUUGGGAGGCAUCUCCUGAACGGGAAAGAUGGCUGAGCUUGAUGCUAUCGUUAAAGGAUGGACCCGCGUCUGAUUAGCUAGUUGGAAGGGUAACGGCCUACCAAGGCGACGAUCAGUAGCCGACCUGAGAGGGUGACCGGCCACAUUGGGACUGAGACACGGCCCAGACUCCUACGGGAGGCAGCAGUGGGGAAUUUUCCGCAAUGGGCGAAAGCCUGACGGAGCAAUGCCGCGUGAAUGAAGAAGGUCUUCGGAUCGUAAAGUUCUGUCAUCAGGGAAGAACAGCAGUGGUGUGAAUAAUGCCAUUGCCUGACGGUACCUGAGGAGGAAGCCACGGCUAACUACGUGCCAGCAGCCGCGGUAAUACGUAGGUGGCGAGCGUUGUCCGGAAUUACUGGGCGUAAAGGGCGUGUAGGCGGGAAUUUAAGUCAGAUGUGAAAGACCCGGGCUCAACUUGGGGAUUGCAUUUGAUACUGGAUUUCUUGAGGACAGGAGAGGAAAGCGGAAUUCCUAGUGUAGCGGUGAAAUGCGUAGAUAUUAGGAGGAAUACCAGUAGCGAAGGCGACUUACUGGCCUCUAACUGACGCUGAUGAACGAAAGCGUGGGUAGCAAACAGGAUUAGAUACCCUGGUAGUCCACGCCGUAAACGAUGAGUGCUAGGUGUCGGGAGUCAAAUCUCGGUGCCGUAGUAACGCAAUAAGCACUCCGCCUGGG